rnacentral:rRNA from 1 species
UGGGGAAUAUUGCACAAUGGGCGCAAGCCUGAUGCAGCCAUGCCGCGUGUAUGAAGAAGGCCUUCGGGUUGUAAAGUACUUUCAGUCGGGAGGAAGGUGGUAAGGUUAAUAACCUUAUCAAUUGACGUUACCGACAGAAGAAGCACCGGCUAACUCCGUGCCAGCAGCCGCGGUAAUACGGAGGGUGCAAGCGUUAAUCGGAAUUACUGGGCGUAAAGCGCACGCAGGCGGUUGAUUGAGUCAGAUGUGAAAUCCCCGGGCUUAACCCGGGAAUUGCAUCUGAUACUGGUCAGCUAGAGUCUUGUAGAGGGGGGUAGAAUUCCAUGUGUAGCGGUGAAAUGCGUAAAGAUGUGGAGGAAUACCGGUGGCGAAGGCGGCCCCCUGGACAAAGACUGACGCUCAGGUGCGAAAGCGUGGGGAGCAAACAGG